CAACUACUCCUUCUGUCCCAAAUUUCUUGUCUUAGAUUUGUCUAGAUACGGAUGUAUCUAAUACUAAAAUGUGACUUGAUACAUCCGUAUCUAGACAAAUCUAAGACAAGAAUUUUGGGACGGAGGGAGUACUUU
rnacentral:pre_miRNA from 1 species